UGGGGAAUUUUGGACAAUGGGGGCAACCCUGAUCCAGCAAUGCCGCGUGUGUGAAGAAGGCCUUCGGGUUGUAAAGCACUUUUGUCCGGAAAGAAAACGUCGUGGUUAAUACCCGUGGCGGCUGACGGUACCGGAAGAAUAAGCACCGGCUAACUACGUGCCAGCAGCCGCGGUAAUACGUAGGGUGCAAGCGUUAAUCGGAAUUACUGGGCGUAAAGCGUGCGCAGGCGGUCCGCUAAGACAGAUGUGAAAGUCCCCGGGCUUAACCUGGGAACUGCAUUUGUGACUGGCGGGCUAGAGUAUGGCAGAGGGGGGUUAGAAUUCCACGUGUAGCAGUGAAAUGCGUAGAGAUGUGGAGGAAUACCGAUGGCGAAGGCAGCCCCCUGGGCCAAUACUGACGCUCA
rnacentral:rRNA from 1 species